CCGAGUUCAUGCCCUUACGGGUAGAUCUCCCACCCUUUGUAUACUAUACCUUUGUUGCUUUGGCGGGCCGCCUAGCUACUGGCUUCGGCUGGUAAGUGCCCGCCAGAGGACCCAAAACCCAAACCAUUUUACAGUGUCGUCUGAAUACAAGUUUAAAUAUUUA
rnacentral:misc_RNA from 1 species